AGAGUUUGAUCAUGGCUCAGAUUGAACGCUGGCGGCAGGCCUAACACAUGCAAGUCGAGCGGUAACACAGAGAGCUUGCUCUCGGGUGACGAGCGGCGGACGGGUGAGUAAUGUCUGGGAAACUGCCUGAUGGAGGGGGAUAACUACUGGAAACGGUAGCUAAUACCGCAUAACGUCGCAAGACCAAAGUGGGGGACCUUCGGGCCUCAUGCCAUCAGAUGUGCCCAGAUGGGAUUAGCUAGUAGGUGGGGUAACGGCUCACCUAGGCGACGAUCCCUAGCUGGUCUGAGAGGAUGACCAGCCACACUGGAACUGAGACACGGUCCAGACUCCUACGGGAGGCAGCAGUGGGGAAUAUUGCACAAUGGGCGCAAGCCUGAUGCAGCCAUGCCGCGUGUGUGAAGAAGGCCUUCGGGUUGUAAAGCACUUUCAGCGGGGAGGAAGGCGNUCGAUUGACGUUACCCGCAGAAGAAGCACCGGCUAACUCCGUGCCAGCAGCCGCGGUAAUACGGAGGGUGCAAGCGUUAAUCGGAAUUACUGGGCGUAAAGCGCACGCAGGCGGUCUGUCAAGUCGGAUGUGAAAUCCCCGGGCUCAACCUGGGAACUGCAUUCGAAACUGGCAGGCUAGAGUCUUGUAGAGGGGGGUAGAAUUCCAGGUGUAGCGGUGAAAUGCGUAGAGAUCUGGAGGAAUACCGGUGGCGAAGGCGGCCCCCUGGACAAAGACUGACGCUCAGGUGCGAAAGCGUGGGGAGCAAACAGGAUUAGAUACCCUGGUAGUCCACGCCGUAAACGAUGUCGAUUUGGAGGUUGUGCCCUUGAGGCGUGGCUUCCGGAGCUAACGCGUUAAAUCGACCGCCUGGGGAGUACGGCCGCAAGGUUAAAACUCAAAUGAAUUGACGGGGGCCCGCACAAGCGGUGGAGCAUGUGGUUUAAUUCGAUGCAACGCGAAGAACCUUACCUGGUCUUGACAUCCACAGAACUUUCCAGAGAUGGAUUGGUGCCUUCGGGAACUGUGAGACAGGUGCUGCAUGGCUGUCGUCAGCUCGUGUUGUGAAAUGUUGGGUUAAGUCCCGCAACGAGCGCAACCCUUAUCCUUUGUUGCCAGCGGUUAGGCCGGGAACUCAAAGGAGACUGCCAGUGAUAAACUGGAGGAAGGUGGGGAUGACGUCAAGUCAUCAUGGCCCUUACGACCAGGGCUACACACGUGCUACAAUGGCAUAUACAAAGAGAAGCGACCUCGCGAGAGCAAGCGGACCUCAUAAAGUAUGUCGUAGUCCGGAUUGGAGUCUGCAACUCGACUCCAUGAAGUCGGAAUCGCUAGUAAUCGUAGAUCAGAAUGCUACGGUGAAUACGUUCCCGGGCCUUGUACACACCGCCCGUCACACCAUGGGAGUGGGUUGCAAAAGAAGUAGGUAGCUUAACCUUCGGGAGGGCGCUUACCACUUUGUGAUUCAUGACUGGGGUGAAGUCGUAACAAGGUAACCGUAGGGGAACCUGCGGUUGGAUCACCU
rnacentral:rRNA from 1 species